GAUGCCAAGACGGUAUGCACUACCUACCUGGGGACA
rnacentral:tRNA from 1 species